UUUCUCUUAGAGAAGUAAGCUUGGUUUAUGGUUCCAGGCUAGUCUAAAUAGUUGUCGAGUUCGCAGCUUCGGCUCGGAUGAGUGACGCUGUUUAUGAUGAACGUCCCAUAGUAG
rnacentral:ncRNA from 1 species